ensembl:lncRNA
GGCAUAGGCUGCGUCCCCAUAGACCUUAAAGGGGUCACUUUCCAUCUUGGUGCCUCAGUUUCUUCAUCCAUCAAUGGGAAUAUUGUGAAGACCAAGUCAAGGGCCUCCAGUGGACCCUGAACCACAGAGAGGUCCGAUCAAGUCUUCAGAGGAGAAGAAAGACUGGAGAGAGGAUAAGGAGAGCCAGCAAGGGGUGAGAGGCUGCCCUAAGGGACAGAGAGAAGGAUGAAGAGGAGAAGAAAGGCAGCCAUAGGUGUCUAUGAGCAAGAGCUGCCUGGAAAUGCCCAGAACCCCCCACCCUGCACAGGCCUCAGGGCACAGGGCCCCUGGCCCCAGCCAGCCUGCUUCGCUCACCAUUCCCUGCCUGGUUCCUGGAACCUUUGAGUGUGAGACCCCUGGCCCUCCAGUUCUGAGGUUCGGAAUCUCUACAUCUGUAUGAGCCCCCUGUGCUCUGCCUGGAGCUGGAAGAAAUGAGGCACAGAAGGAAAAAGGAGUUAACAGGACUCACAGCCAGACCCAGACUGGGGAUACAAUCCAGGAACACACAAACCACCGAAUUUAUUGUGAAAAGUUUUCUUUUGUGUUGCUAUUAAUAAGUAUCCAUGGAUUAAUUCACACCGUUCUAUGAAACCAGACAUUUGCUCUAGUCUAUGGGACUGGAUGGUGCUGGGACCUGCCACCCAACUGUGAGGGACCAGCCAUGACAGCCCAGUGCAGACACAGGAUCACCA